ACGAACGCUGGCGGCGUGUCUAAUCCCUGCAAGUCGAACGCACUCUCGUUUAGAUUGAAGGAGUUUGCUCCUGAUUGAUAAACAUUUGAGUGAGUGGCGGACGGGUGAGUAACACGUGGGUAACCUGCCCUAAAGUGGGGGAUAACAUUUGGAAACAGAUGCUAAUACCGCAUAAAACCUAACACCGCAUGGUGUAGGGUUGAAAGAUGGUUUCGGCUAUCACUUUAGGAUGGACCCGCGGUGCAUUAGUUAGUUGGUGAGGUAAAGGCUCACCAAGACCGUGAUGCAUAGCCGACCUGAGAGGGUAAUCGGCCACACUGGGACUGAGACACGGCCCAGACUCCUACGGGAGGCAGCAGUAGGGAAUCUUCCACAAUGGACGAAAGUCUGAUGGAGCAACGCCGCGUGAGUGAAGAAGGUUUUCGGAUCGUAAAACUCUGUUGUUGGAGAAGAAUGUAUCUGAUAGUAACUGAUCAGGUAGUGACGGUAUCCAACCAGAAAGCCACGGCUAACUACGUG
rnacentral:rRNA from 1 species